rnacentral:rRNA from 1 species
UACGGAGGGGGCUAGCGUUGUUCGGAAUUACUGGGCGUAAAGGGCUCGUAGGCGGCCAACUAAGUCGGAUGUGAAAUCCCCAGGCUUAACCUGGGAACUGCAUCCGAUACUGGAUGGCUUGAAUCCGGGAGAGGGAUGCAGAAUUCCAGGUGUAGCGGUGAAAUGCGUAGAUAUCUGGAGGAAUACCGGUGGCGAAGGCGGCAUCCUGGACCGGCAUUGACGCUGAGGCGCGAAAGCUAGGGGAGCAAACGGG